rnacentral:rRNA from 1 species
GGAGGGGCCGGGAUCCGUUCUUUCGAUGGUAGUGUAUUGGAUAGAUGGCUUUCACGGGUCCAGGGAAUUAGGGUUCGAUUCUGGAGAAGGAGCCUGAGAACGGCUACUACAUCUACGGUUAAGGCAGCAGGCGUCGUAAUUACCCGGUCCUGACUUAGGGAGGUGGUGACAAGAUAUAACAACGCGGUUAUUAUCGCGAUUGUAGUGAGGGUAUUCUAAACAGAACCUAUAGUACGAUUAGAGGGCAAGUCUGGUGCCAGCAGCCGCGGUAAUUCCAGCUCUAAUAGCGUAUAUUAAAGUUGCUGCAGUUAAAAAGCUCGUAGUUGGAUUUCAAGGAUUUUUUACUCUCCACUGGGAAUACAUCCUACUAGUCUUCGGACUGUUACUGUGAGAAAAUUAGAGUGUUUCAAGCAGGCUUUCGCAAGAAUACAUUAGCAUGGAAUAACGAAUGUGUUUAGAAUCUUGGUUAAUCUAACACGACCACAGAGACAGGGGGGGCAUUAGAUUAAUUGUCAGCCGCUCACACUCUGGAUGUAAAGACUAACGUAUGCGAAGCAUUUGCCAAGGAUGCUUUCACUAAUCACAACGAAAGAUAGGGAUCAAAACAAUCAGAUACUGUUGUAGUCCUAUCUAUAACUAUGCGACUAGGGAUUGGAAUGGAGAUAUACCAUUUCAGUACUUAUGAGAAAUCAAGUCUUUGGGUUCUGGUGUGUAGAUAUGUCGCAAGCUGAACUAAGAAUUGACGAGAACCCAGAUGGGCUGCGCUAUGACCCACCGGGACUACAGUCGAACUAGAAGAUGCAAUGAGCUUCUGAUUCUGUUGGGGGGCAUGCGUCUAUUGGAAGAUGUGCUG